AGUUUUUUUUGUUUUUUUUUAUUGUGUUUUUUUUUUUUUUAAGUAAUUAAAUGUUGCAUAUAGCGUUGUUGUAACAAGGGCAUUACAUUUAACUCAACCAAACAAUUGAAAACUGUGACAUAUCAAUGUCAUUUCGAAAUCGAUCGUCCGAGAUAGUACUUAAGUUUAGUA